rnacentral:rRNA from 1 species
AUUGAACGCUGGCGGCAGGCCUAACACAUGCAAGUCGAGCGGAUGACGGGAGCUUGCUCCUUGAUUCAGCGGCGGACGGGUGAGUAAUGCCUAGGAAUCUGCCUGGUAGUGGGGGACAACGUUUCGAAAGGAACGCUAAUACCGCAUACGUCCUACGGGAGAAAGCAGGGGACCUUCGGGCCUUGCGCUAUCAGAUGAGCCUAGGUCGGAUUAGCUAGUUGGUGGGGUAAUGGCUCACCAUGGCGACGGUCCGUAACUGGUCUGAGAGGAUGAUCAGUCACACUGGAACUGAGCAACGGUCCAGACUCCUACGGGAGGCAGCAGUGGGGAAUAUUGGACAAUGGGCGAAAGCCUGAUCCAGCCAUGCCGCGUGUGUGAAGAAGGUCUUCGGAUUGUAAAGCACUUUAAGUUGGGAGGAAGGGCAGUAAGUUAAUACCUUGCUGCUUUGACGUUACCGACAGAAUAAGCACCGGCUAACUCUGUGCCAGCCGCCGCCGUAA